rnacentral:rRNA from 1 species
ACAUGCCUACAUCAUAGUGUUAAUGCAUCAGAUCCCAUUAGAACUCUGCAUUUAAGCGCGCUCAAGCUAGAGUUGUAUUGGGAUGGGUGACCGCCCGGGAAGUCCUAGUGUUUUACAUGCC